CCUACGGGAGGCAGCAGUGAGGAAUAUUGGUCAAUGGACGAGAGUCUGAUCCAGCCAAGUCGCGUGAAGGAUGACUGCCCUAUGGGUUGUAAGCUUCUUUUAUAUGGGAAUAAAACGUUCCACGUGUGGGAUUUUUUAUUUACCAUAUGAAUAUGGAUCGGCUAACUCCGUGCCAGCAGCCGCGGUAAUACGGAGGAUCCGAGCGUUAUCCGGAGUUAUUGGGUUUAAAGGGCGCGUAGGUGGAUUGAUAAGUCAGUUGUGAAAGGUUGCGGCUCAACCGGAAAAUUGCAGUUGAAACUGGCAGUCUUGAGUACAGUAGAGGUGGGUGGAAGUCGUGGUGUAGCGGUGAAAUGCGUAGAUAUCACGAAGAACACCGAUGGCGAAGGCAGUUCACUGGACUGCAACUGACACUGAGGCUCGAAAGUGUGGGUAUCAAACAGGAUUAGAUACCCGAGUAGUC
rnacentral:rRNA from 1 species